UGCCCGAAAGGGUGACGAUGCGACGCCGCGUGAGCGAAGAAGGCCCUAGGGUUGUAAAGCUCUGUCAGGGGUUAAGAAAUGUAGAUAGGUUAAUACCCUGUUUAUUUGACAAAAGCCCCAAAGGAAGCCACGGCUAACUCUGUGCCAGCAGCCGCGGUAAUACAGAGGUGGCAAGCGUUGUUCGGUAUUAUUGGGCGUAAAGAGCACGUGGGUGGUUUUGUAAGUCAGAUGUGAAAGCCUUCUGUUCAAAGGAAGAACGGCAUCUGAAACUGCAAAUCUUGAGUGUAGGAGGGGAGAGUGGAACUUCUGGUGGAGCGGUGAAAUGCGUAGAUAUCAGAAGGAACGUCGGCGGCGAAAGCGACUCUCUGGCCUAUUACUGACACUGAGUGUGCGAAAGUUAGGGGAGCAAACGGGAUUAGAUACCCCGGUAGUCCUAACCGUAAACGAUGGGCACUAAGUAGAGGGGU
rnacentral:rRNA from 1 species